GGCACCAUCUGGUGGGUUGCCAGUGCAGCUAGAACAAAGCAGGCAGAAGAAUGUGGAAGGAGCUGACUUGCUAAGUCUUCUGGCCUUCAUCUUUCUCCUGUGCUGGAUGCUUCCUGCCCUCCAACGUCAGACUCCAAGUCCUUUGGCUUUUGGACUCUUGGACUUAUAUCAGUGGUUUGCCAGGUGCUCUUGGGCAUUCAGCCACAGACCGAAGGCUGCGCUGGCUUCCUUACUUUUGAGACUGCUGGUCUCGGACUGAGCCACUACAGGCUUCCUUGCUCCUCAGCUUGCAGACGGCGUAUUGUGGGACUUCAGCUUCUGAUCAUAGUCUCACCCUGUCAUUCAGGCUGGAGCAUAAUGGCACAAUCUUGGCUCACUGCAACCUCUGCCUCCCAAGUUCAAGUGAUUCUCCUGCCUCAGCCUUGAGUAGGUGGGAUUACAGGAUGUAAAGAAAUCAUGGUGCUAGAGUGUGUUUGGCCUCCCAUGAAGCCUCAGGAAGCUUCUACUCAUGAUGGAAAGUAAAGCAGUAGCAGACGUGUCACAAGGUAGAGUACAGUAAGAUUGAGAGAGGGUGGGAAGGUGCAAUGUACUUAAAUAAGCAGAUCUCAUGAGAACUCACCCACUAUCUCAAGGAUGGUGCCAAGCCAUGAGGGAUCUGACCCCAUGAACCAAACACCUCCCACCAGGCCCCACCUCCAACACUGGGGAUGACAUUUUAAUAUGAGAUUUUACAGGGACUUAUAUUCAAAAAUGUA